ACUCAAAUGAAUUGACGGGGGCCCGCACAAGCGGCGGAGCAUGUUGCUUAAUUCGACGCGACGCGAAGAACCUUACCAAGGCUUGACAUUGCCGGAUGCGCCUGCGGAGACGUAGGUUCCCUUUGGGGCCGGUGACAGGUGGUGCAUGGCUGUCGUCAGCUCGUGUCGUGAGAUGUUGGGUUAAGUCCCGCAACGAGCGCAACCCUUGUUCCAUGUUGCCAGCGCGUGGUGGCGGGGACUCAUGGGAGACUGCCGGGGUCAACUCGGAGGAAGGUGGGGAUGACGUCAAGUCAUCAUGCCCCUUAUGUCUUGGGCUGCAAACAUGCUACAAUGGCCGGUACAGAGGGUUGCGAGGUCGUAAGGCGGAGCGAAUCCCGUAAAGCCGGUCUCAGUUCGGAUUGGGGUCUGCAACUCGACCCUAUGAAGUCGGAGUCGCUAGUAAUCGCAGAUCAGCAAUGCUGCGGUGAAUACGUUCCCGGGCCUUGUACACACCGCCCGU
rnacentral:rRNA from 1 species